GGGAGCGUAGCUCAGUUGGUAGAGCACCUGUUUUGCACGCAGGGGGUCCUCGGUUCGACUCCGUGCGCUUCC
rnacentral:tRNA from 1 species